GACGAACGCUGGCGGCGUGCUUAACACAUGCAAGUCGAACGAAGAGCGAUGGAGGCUUGCUUCUUGCAAUCUUAGUGGCGCACGUGUGAGUCACGCGUAAUCAACCUGUCCUUCAGUGGGGGACCACAGUGGGACACGACUGCUUAUACCACAUACGAUCUAAUCUCAGCAUCCAGGAGAGAUGGAAGGUGUCCUCUAUUCAUAUGCUUUCACUGAAGCUGGAGAUUGCGUCUGAUUAGCUAGCUGGAGGGGUAACGGCCCACGCAGGCGAAGCUCAGUAGACGGUCUGAGAGGGGGAACGGCCACACUGGGAAUGAGACACGGCCCAGACGCCUACAGGAGGCAGCAGUGGGGAAACUUUCGCGAUGGAGGAAAGACUGACGGGGAAACGCCGCGUGAGAGAUGACGGCCUUCGCGUUGCAAAGAUCUGUGUAUCGGGAGGAAAGGACUUCUUGCGAACAGGUAGAAGGAUUGACGGUACCGGAAUAGAAAGCCACGGCUAACUACGUG
rnacentral:rRNA from 1 species